AACAAACGCUGGCGGCGUGCCUAACACAUGCAAGUCGUACGAGAAAGGGUCCUUCGGGACCUGAGUAAAGUGGCGCACGGGUGAGUAACGCGUGGAUAAUCUGCCCUUCAGUUGGGAAUAACUCAUCGAAAGGUGGGCUAAUACCGAAUAACGCUGUGAGACCUUGGUCGAUCAGCCAAAGAGAGCCUCUGCUUGCAUGCCCUCGCUGAAGGAUGAGUCCGCGUACCAUUAGCUUGUUGGUAGGGUAAUGGCCUACCAAGGCGACGACGGGUAGCCGACCUGAGAGGGUGACCGGCCACACUGGGACUGAGACACGGCCCAGACUCCUACGGGAGGCUG
rnacentral:rRNA from 1 species